AUGGAUAACUUAUAUAGUAACAAUAAUACUACAAACGGGAUAGACUUUACAAACAUGUAUGAUAACAGUCAAGCAUUUAUGAGUAGUGAUAUACAAACGAAAUUGGAUAAUACUACCAAUUUUAUAAGUAAUAAAAACGUAUAUUCUCCUUUGAACUCGUAUCAUUCAAAUAAUGUAAAUGAAAGCACAUCAUUAGAAAUGGAUAGAUUACCAAUAGUCGAAUUUGGAAAAGUACAAAAUAAAGCAACCUUAUAUGAUAAUAAUGUUAAUUUCAAAACAGAUAGUUAUAAUAUUAGCGGACAUAUUAUAAAUUCUGACGGAGUUACAGUAAAACCAAAUGAAAUUGUAAAAACAGAAUCUAUAAAAAAUAAUAUUCCUGUAAAUGAAAAUGUGAGUUCGCAUACUGAUUAUGCUAGAGCAACACAUAGUUCGCAUGUUGUUGAUAAGAAAAUAGUUCAUGAAGGAUUUGAUACUAUUAAGAUUCCUAAAUAUAGAGAAAUAGAAGUUGUCGAAAAGAUUGUGGAGGUCCCCGUAGUUCAUAAAGUUAAUAAAUAUAUAAAUAAAUAUGAAGUUAAAGAAGUUGAAAAGCUAGUAAAAAAAAAAAUUAAUAAAUAUGUAGAAGCAAAAAUUGAAAUACCUGAAUUAUAUUAUAAAGAUAAAAUUGUAGAAGUUCCUGAUGUACAAGAAUUUUUAAAAAUAGUUGAAAAACCUGAAAUAAAAGAAAGAAUUAUAUAUAAAAAUAAAAUAGAAAAAAAAAUAAUACCGAAAUAUAUAGAAGUACCCGUAAUUAAAGUAGUUGACAGGUAUGAAAGUUAUGAUGACAUAAAAGAAAUAAUAAAAACGGUACCAGUUAAAAAAAUUGUUGAAAUACCACAUGAAGUAAUAAAAAAAGUGAAAGUACCUAUUAAAAAAAUAAUUGAAGAACCUAAUUAUGUACCUAUCAUUAAAUAUCGUGAUGUUCCGGUAGAGAAGAUCAGAUAUGUUCCAAAAAUACAAACAAUCGAAUUAGUCAAAACUAUACCCAAAAUAAUAGAUAUUCCCGUGACAGUAAAAGUUCCUAAAAUAAAAGUUAUUGAUAAGCCUGUUUAUAUAAACAAAUAUAUCGAUAGGCCUGUAAUUGUACCAGUUUCUAAAACGAUGAAGCCAGUAUAUAAAUACGAAGGGAAAAGAGUGAUAGAUAUACCUAUACAUAAACCAUAUAUUGUUACCCAUGAUACUAUUGUAAAUGUACCUAUAGACAAUACAAUGAAUAAAGGUCGACGUUCUGUUUACACAAAAAAGUUAAAUUUGGACUCAAUGAGUACAGAAAAAAAAAACGAAUUAUUUCAUAUGGUUAAUAACACAAAAUUUAAUUUACAAAGAUCAAUGAGUGUAGAUAAUAUUUUUGAUAAUAAAAAUUUCACUGAUGAAAACUGUUUUGUUAACUGUUCAAAAUUACAAGAACCAGUAGGAACGAAAAAUGCGUUUUUAUCAAAUAAUGUUUUUUCGAAUUCGGGUUCUGUUGAGCAAUGCAAUAAUAGAUUAUCUGAUAACAUACAUACUAGAAACAAUAAUUUUAAUAAUAUGAGUAGAAAUGUGUUUAAUAAUUCAUUAGAUAACAAUACCAACAACAAUUUUAAUCGAUUGAACUUUACGAAAAGUUUAAAUUGUAACUCUAAUUUAAAAAACAUAACUUUAAACCCUUUAAAUAAUAAUUGUAUGAAUUUUAGUAACCCAUUGAAUGGUGGUAUUAGGAAUAAUAAUAAUUUUAUGCAUAUGUAUAAUCCUAAUGAAAGAUUUACUACUAAUAGAAAUACAAAUCAAAGCAUUAACAACCGCACAAACGUAGUUGAAAAUGAU
rnacentral:lncRNA from 1 species